UAGGCGGGAGCUCCGGGAGGCGGAGGCAGCCGGUGGGGGCCUAGUGGAGUGGAGGGGUAACAAGAUGGCGGCGGAGACGGUGGAGCUCCAUAAGCUGAAGCUUGCUGAACUAAAGCAAGAAUGUCUUGCUCGUGGUUUGGAGACUAAAGGAAUAAAACAAGAUCUAAUCAACAGGCUCCAGGCUUAUCUUGAGGAGCAUGCUGAAGAAGAGGCAAAUGAAGAAGAUGUAUUGGGAGAUGAAACAGAGGAAGAAGAACCAAAGCCCAUAGAGCUGCCUGUCAAAGAAGAAGAACCCCCUGAAAAAACUGUUGAUGUGGCAGCAGAGAAGAAGGUAGUAAAAAUUACAUCUGAAAUAUCACAGACUGAGAGAAUGCAGAAGAGGGCUGAACGAUUCAAUGUACCUGUCAGUUUGGAGAGUAAGAAAGCUGCUCGUGCAGCUAGGUUUGGAAUUUCUUCUGUUCCAACAAAAGGUCUGUCGUCUGAUAACAAGACUAUGGUUAACCUGGAUAAGCUAAAGGAAAGAGCACAAAGAUUUGGUUUGAAUGUCUCUUCAAUCUCUAGAAAGUCUGAAGAUGAUGAGAAACUAAAAAAGAGGAAAGAACGAUUUGGGAUUGUCACAAGUUCAGCUGGAACUGGAACCACAGAGGAUACAGAGGCAAAGAAGAGGAAAAGAGCAGAACGCUUUGGGAUUGCAUGAUGAAAAGUUCUUCAUGCUUUCUGUUCUCCAGUGGUUUCCAUUUCUGUUUCUUAUUGGUUACAUAUAUAUCUAAAUGCACAGUCACAUGUCUACUACGUCCUGCUCUCAAUGAGGGAGUAUGUACCCCAGACGCAUCUGUGAACUCCAGCAACAAUUGGACUUACUGCUGUUCCAACUUUAAGGUUCAAGUGCUGGAUUGUGUCAUGUGACCAUCCCAAAACUCAGAGCACCCUAUGGCCAUCUUUGCCCUCUGUCACAUAACUUGAAAACUGCCUGAUGGCCUUUUUGCAAUGAUUCCUCUUUCCAGGAAGCCUUGAUCUCAGUGAAGAAGUCCUUUCCUGGCAUUCCAGUACCCCUCUCAGCCCCAUACUUCUCAGACACCCUUAACAAACAAAGGCAAUCACACACAUGAUGUAACAUACACAAAAAAAGUAAAUAAUUACACUAAACACUGGUAUGUUUGGAGGGGCACUGACCAGGUCCACACACACAAGGUGUGUGUGGUGGGGGUAAGGACUAGCUCCUUUUAGGGAGCUGGGCCAUGUCCCCAAGCCUCUUUGUUCCCAUGCCUCUUUGGGGAUGUGUAAGGAUGAGGAAGACUUCAGCUUUUGGGCUUAUAUUCCUAAGAGUUCUCCCUCCUUGCAAAGCUCUUUACGAUGGUAAUAAAGGGGCAAUGUUUUAAGUGUCCCCCAAGUUUAAUGCCCUAACUCUAGACUAUUGAGGGAAGUUGACUGGUGCCCACUGUUCAACCCCCACCCCAUCAAGAGGCGUUUGGCCCUUAGAGGAAAGCAUCUUCACUUUUCUGUUCCUAUCCUUCCACCAAGGAAAUGUAAAUAGUGUUGACAGUCAAGGGCGUCUUGUUCUCCAAGACUGGGUUAGAAGGGAUGAACAGAGCCAGAGGAGAGGCUUGGGGUUAACAUGGUCGCCAUAUGGGAAGGGAGUUGAAGUCACUCCGUUAUAAAGCACCUUACCUCAUUUUCUCACUAUGAGAAUAAGAGAAAGAUGCCAAGACUUAGUAACAUCACCUUCCCAAGGUUGAUCACAUACCUUUGCCCCUUCCAUGGUCUGGUCUAAGCAGGAGAGACAUGCUCUCAGGAAGAACAAGUCUUCUAGGCUUGCUCACCAGCUUGUGCUUUACUUCAGCAUUUUUUUUCUGCCAGACCAGAACUGCUGACUCUGUAUAGAGGGAAUUCUUUUGCUGCAUACUUCCUCCCCGUAGGCUCUUGGCUGGAGCCAGGAGGUAGCUGGUGAGGUAUGGGUAGGGUAUGGAGAUUCUCAACUCCGUGGCUUCAGGCACUGUCCAGCUGGGAGGCAGAGGGGAACUUGUACUUCGAAGCCUGUGACUCUGCUAAGCCUCACAUAUCUUCACCACCACUCUGGUGCCCUGGUUAUCUAGUCCCACAGCGAGAGGUAUUUUAUGUCCAUAAAGUGCCCGUGGUAAGUGCUCAGAAUUCAUCUCUUGGCUGUGGCGGGUGCUGCUAUUUUCAUUCCAUCGAGGGGAAGAAACUGAGGCACAGUGAGUCCAGAGGAGGGUGGGUGAGGAUUGUGAAAGGAAUGAAGGGGCUCAACUAGUGGCUUGAAGUGGCAACAUCGGCCUGCUCUGCAGCCUUCCAAAUCAGAGGGUCUCCAUCCUUCUCAUCCUCUGCUGUAACUGGCCUUGUCACAUGCUGUACCCCACUGUACCACCCCUCCCUGCUGCCAGAUACUAUUUUCCAAAAAUAAAAGAUAAAAAUUA